GACGAACGCUGGCGGCGUGCUUAACACAUGCAAGUCGAACGGAAAGGCCCUGCUUUUGUGGGGUGCUCGAGUGGCGAACGGGUGAGUAACACGUGAGUAACCUGCCCUGGACUUUGGGAUAACUUCAGGAAACUGGGGCUAAUACCUGAUAGGAGCUCCUGCUGCAUGGUGGGGUUUGGAAAGUUUCGGCGGUUGGGGAUGGACUCGCGGCUUAUCAGCUUGUUGGUGGGGUAGUGGCUUACCAAGGCUUUGACGGGUAGCCGGCCUGAGAGGGUGAACGGCCACCUUGGGACUGAGAGACGGCCCAGACGCCUACGGGAGGCAGCAGUGGGGAAUAUUGCACAAUGGGCGGAAGCCUGAUGCAGCAGCGCCGCGUGCGGGAUGACGGCCUUCGGGUUGUAAACCGCUUUCGCCUGUGACGAAGCGUGAGUGACGGUAAUGGGUAAAGAAGCACCGGCUAACUACGUG
rnacentral:rRNA from 1 species